ensembl:lncRNA
GUGUUGGGUAGUCCUGGAACAUUAUCUAAACACAGAAUAUCUGUUCCCACUAUAGAAGCCUUGUUUUCCAGUUCAGGCACUGGUGUACAUCCUGAGAGAUUCCUGCUGGUGGUGCCACUGGUGUGGGUACUAGGUUACUCUGAUUUCGACAAAGAAUACCCUUAGGUGAAUCCACAAGGUAAGAUCUGGGAGUCCCUGCUGACAUAAUCACAGUCCCUUUCUCUAGUGUCACUGAUCCACACAGACUCUCCUAGGUGUAACUGUGGUAAAUCAUGUGCUUUGUGUCUUUUAUUAAAUUGUUUCCCUUGUUUCUCUCUCCUAACCUUUUCUUCUUCUUUCAGACGAUUCAAGUCCAUCCAGCCUGGGUUCAACACUGAUGGUAUGACCGGGACUGUAGUUCGCAGCUUUCUGCCCAUCAGCAGUUCUGCAGGACUAUAUCCAUUGGAUAAUGGUGUUGCCCGAUACUCCAUAAGAGCAAGAAUAGCAGUUGAUGACUGCUGUGCAGUGGAAAUGUAAGUUAAGAGCAUGCUUUAGAUUGUGUUUGUUUCAAGUGCCAUGUUGUUGAAAAUACUGCCAUUACUUACAUUUGUUUUUACAUUGCAUAGAGGAUCUACUUAGAUAAUUCAAGAUGAAUGUAGAAAAUGAGACUUGAAUGCAUUUAUUUCAUAUCCUUCCACAGACCUGAUAAUUUGCUUGAUAAGACCUAAAUAUAUCGUCAGGAGCAACAGGUAUUAGUUUUGUAUUCCUUGAUAUGUAACCCCCCACACACACACACCUUCCAAAACUGGGCAGCCUCUGACUUGCAUUUUAUUAAUCACCAAGGGCCACAGUUUCAGCUAAAAAUCCUCUUUGCUCUUCUGCUGAAGAACAACAGUCACUGACAUCUUAGAUGGCCUGAGGGUAAGUAAAUUUACAGCAAACUUUUUAUUUUUUGUGUGAACUAUU